GCCCUCGUAGCUCAGUUUGGAUUCAGAGCACUUUGUUUUUGGAUCUCGGUUCAAGGCGUGCAAGCCUCCUAAGCAAGGGGUCGUGGGUUCGAAUCCCACCGGGGGCGCCA
rnacentral:tRNA from 1 species